ACAGGAAGAUUUCGAUGGCGUGUUGGUAAAGCUUAAAUUAGUUCAAAGGAAAGACGACGCGAUAAAAAGCUUAGUUGAAAUAGUAGAGCAAGAAGGCCACGAAGAAUACGUGGUAAAGAACAACUUGUAUAGGCAGAAGGAGGGUGAGGUGCUUAUCGUAGUUCCUAAGUUAGUGCAGGAAGGUAUAAUUCGGCAGACUCACGAGAAAGGUCAUUUUUCGGCCGAUAAAACCAAAAAGAUUAUUCAAGAUAUUUUUAGUAAAUUUGUGCAAUUAUAUCCAGUAAAGUUAAUUGAUACGCAUGAAAUUUUAAAUCAAUUGUAAAAAUAAUCAAAUAUAUUUGAAAACCCGCCUAAGAUCGUAUCUGCACGUACAUUGAAGAAGCACUGCAAUAAUGAAGGCAUCAAGUACCAGCGCUGAAGCUAGAGAACUGGUAGAAGUAUGUUGAUUUUAUACAAAAAAAUACUAAAGUACUCUCGGUCGAAGUACAGGGUAUUCACAGUACAGUAUUUCGUUUAGCACCUGUAUGAGAUUGAAAAACGAAUCACAGUUGAGAGAUAUCAUAAAGUAAGAAAUUAUAGCAUUUUUUCAAGAACAUCGAGAUCCUUUAUGAGAGCAAGCUAAAGAAUCAAUCUUCAGGAUUCAGGAAAAUAAAAGGAAUUUAAAAA